GAACUUGCGGAAGGAUCAUUG
rnacentral:rRNA from 1 species